GUGGGAAUGGAGUUUUGGGCAAGAUGGGCUCAUAAAGCUCUCUGGCACGCUUCUUUAUGGCAUAUGCACGAGUCUCACCACCGACCCAGAAAAGGUCCAUUCGAGCUUAACGAUGGACU